rnacentral:tRNA from 1 species
GUGCCCAUAGCUCAGCCGGAUAGAGUGUCUGACUACGAAUCAGAAGGUCGGGGGUUCGAAUCCCUCUGGGCACACCA